rnacentral:rRNA from 1 species
CCAGACUCCUACGGGAGGCAGCAGUGGGGAAUAUUGCACAAUGGGGGAAACCCUGAUGCAGCGACGCCGCGUGAGUGAAGAAGUAUUUCGGUAUGUAAAGCUCUAUCAGCAGGGAAGAAAUAGCGACCUUUGGGUCGCCAGACGGUACCUGAUUAAGAAGCCCCGGCUAACUACGUGCCAGCAGCCGCGGUAAUACGUAGGGGGCAAGCGUUAUCCGGAUUUACUGGGUGUAAAGGGAGCGUAGACGGCAGCGCAAGUCUGAAGUGAAAGGCGGGGGCCCAACCCCCGGACUGCUUUGGAAACUGUAUAACUGGAGUGCAGGAGAGGUAAGUGGAAUUCCUAGUGUAGCGGUGAAAUGCGUAGAUAUUAGGAGGAACACCAGUGGCGAAGGCGGCUUACUGGACUGUAACUGACGUUGAGGCUCGAAAGCGUGGGGAGCAAACAGGAUUAGAUACCCUUGUA